rnacentral:miRNA from 1 species
UUCCUUCCUGUCCGUG